GGCCUGACGGAGGCUACACCUGGAUUCCUGCUGCUGAACCCAUGUGACUGGCAUUUGGACUUUUCUACCCAGUUACCCUCUUGUGCGUCUUCAGAAUAGAAGUUCUGCUGCAACAGCUUAAACCAUCCCAGGCCUUUGCACUCUGACCUUCUGCUAGUUUGGCAUCAUUAACUGUUUGAGAAAAAUGACAGGGACUCACUUUCCAAGAAAUUACACUAUGUUCAAUGACUUCCCAUCAAGAGUAAGCAAUGUUCCGUAUCCUGCCAUUGCGGCUGAUGCCCCGGCUGAGGAGGGAGGACACGCCUGCAUUUCACAACUGGUUGUGAUCACAUCUGGCGCAGGGCCUAGGUCAGAGCCACGGAUCUGUCAACAUGACCUCUUUCGAUCACUGCAGAGUGUGCAGGAGGGCUUAAGUUCCUAGAAACGGACCAGAUGUGAAACCCAUCCAAAUGGAAUGAGCUCUUCUGAAGAACCUUGCUUAGUGGCAGGAGACGAGUUCUGUGUCAGAGUCUGAAGCCUAGAUCCUGGACCCAAAGCCACAACUUGCUGCAGGCCUGGCCAAGCUGCCGUGGGUCCUCGAGGGUGGCUCACUUCGCCACGAAGCCUGUUCCUCCUUCCUUUAUUUGACAUUCAUCUGCUCCUUUGGGAAGAGCCACCUCUGCUCACCACACUAGCAGCAUGCAGCACUGGCCUCACUCUGAAAUUAGCUGCUUUUUAGUAGACUCCUGUUUCUAAUUGUCACUUCCUGGAGGCAGAGUCAGCCAGCCCCUCUCAUGGCUUCUCAGUUCUCCAGCUGGGAUUUCUGGAGGCCACUGGGAGGCCACUUGCAUUUUUGCUGCCUUCCAACCCUCGGCUCUGUUGUCGGCUCAUGAAUGAACAAGCAGCAGCAUUUCCCUGCUGGUAUGGGCUCCCCACUGCCGUGGGGCACUCACCACCGGCAGAGGGGGGCAGGUGUCCUGAAAGGACUGGACCAGCUGUGGGUGUCAAGGUGGACGCUGGCUUGGCUCUGGCAGCUCGGGCUCAGCAUGCUGAGCUGAACCAUCCGAGGCUCCUCCGGGAAACAGGUUGAGCAAAUCUCUCUUCUCCCUCUCUGGGCUCAUGCAUAUUCAUCAGCAGAACAACUCCAGGCCAAAGAUAAUGAUUCAUGCAGGAAGCGCCAUUCUGAACAUUAUUAUCUGGGAGUGACAAAUGAAUUUCUAAUUUAACAUGUGUAUUGCACAAAUAGAUCACAAGAACUUUAAAGUCAAAAGCAUCCUUUGGAGUCAUGCAACUUCUGUUGUAACGUAGCGUAAAAUGGUAGAGGAAGAGCGUCUCCCCACUGGUGGGCUGUGCGUAGCUGUUCCCUUCAAAGCAGAGGAGAAAUGAAAGGGGGUGUGAUUUCAGACACCGCUUGAGUCUACAAUAGAAGCCAAUAAUGAUGGCCAAGAAUGGAACAACAGUGACAACAACAAAGGGCCGGCCACUGGCACGAGCACGAUCAUUGUUUCGAGUUAUUACUUGGAGAUGAGCGGAGUACUCUUUCCCUCCCGUCCCUGCCGACAACAGAAAUGCAGUAAAGGCCACUUGGGUUCAUUGGUUGCUCAGUAAGAGUCAGAAGCCAGUGACCAUGAGGCGAGACUGAGGAGGGAAUGGGGGAAUUGAUUUGAGUUGUGUUCCAGUACCAGUUUCAUGUUGAAAUGUUAAUUUAUAGCAUGAUAAUGUGAUAGCUACACCGUCUGCCUGUCAGCAAAGAUUGGCCACUUCCAGCUUGUCAGAGCUGACAGUCAAGCACGAAAUGGCUACUGUCAGGGAGUGGCAGCUCUUGGAAGACUAAGUCUUAAGCCAUUUCUUAACGUUCUGUGUCCCUGUCCUCACUGCCCGCUCCCAUCCCUCUUCUUUCCAACGGCGAGAAUAAACCAGCUGCCCGUCCCUUCACCUACUCUCACAUUCCUCCAAAGCCUGUGGAAAACUCAGACUUCUGGAAAACGGGAAAUCUGCUCUUGGUUUUGCUUUUUUGAGCUAAUAAUGACAUUUGAUGUUUACUAGAUACAAGGUGCUGUGAUCCAGCACAUUACCUUUAUGACCUCAUUAAAUUCUCACAGCCAUCAAUGACAAAAAUGCUAGUAUCCCCAAUUUACUGAGGAGGAAACUGAGGCUCUCAGAGGCUAAGUCACAUGUCUAAAUUCACGUGAACUAAGUCUGUGCUUGGCAGAGGCAGGAAUAGAGACCAGGUCUGCUAGACUUCAGGGACCACCCUCUUCAUUACUAAGCUCUAAGAUCUAAUGUCGGAGAAGGGUGUCCUUUUAGGGAUGAUUGCACAAAUGUUGACCAAGUGAAACCCUGGUGCAGGACCUCCCUUAAGCUGGUCAGUGAGGUCCCCUGGCUUUGUCCACCUGUUUUCCGUUUGGUGAGAUGAGGUGCUGACAGGGCUAAGGACAGGUGCCCAUCUGGGCCCCAUAUUCCCUCUCCACCAUGCUCUGGCAGGAUGAGGCUUUAAAACCUCACCACUCAAGCUCAGCAGAAAAGCUUUUGCUUUUCUCUAAUAGUCUCAGCUCUGAUUGGGUCUCCUGCCCCAAAUUAAACCGAUCACUGAGGCCAGGGGAUGUAGUACUGUGAUUGGCCAGGCUGAGUCACAUGUUUACUGCUGGAGGUGUGGAUGAAGUCCUCAUCACCAGAAUGAUCUGGUCUGAGAGCAAGAGAAAGGUGGUGGUCCCAAAGAAGGGGAAAGAAGUGUUGACCAGACAAAACCAACAGGUGUCAAGUCUCUUGAUGGUUGGCAAGUCUCUCUGCCUCCUGUAGGUUCUAAAGGUUAUAGGAGAGAGAGAGAGUAAUUUGAGGAGGGAUGCAGAAGGGAACGGAAAAUCAGAGGGAAAGAUAGAAGGAUCCUUUCAGAGAGGUUUGCUCAGAAAUGGAAACAGAGAAGAACCAGAAAGAUUUCUCUUCAACUCCUCAAGAGAGAGAGAACACACAGGAAGAAAUGCUUUAUCAGCCCAGCCGUGUCUGAUUCCCCCUUCCCCUACCACACAGGCCAGUGAUCUUCAGUUUUUGUUCUGAAGAUACCCAAAGCUCUGGGAGGAUUCCUCAGGCUCUUUUAGAGGCAACUGCAAAGUGGGAUCUGGAGAAAGCUCAGUGGGGAAAGCUAAGACCCCUCCUGGCUUCAUUCCCUUUCCCCAUAUUUCCUUUCAGUGCAUUUCUACGUAAGACCUUGUUUGGAGGGGAAAAAAAAGAGUUCCUCUGCCAAACACUGCUCUACACCAAGAUAUUCUUAAAGAAUAAAGUCCUUUUGCUUACCUCUGUCUCCCCGGUGUUGAACGCAGUGCUGGGUAUACAGUACAGACCCAACAAUCACCAGACUAUCAGAUGGAACUGAAAGUGCAGAAUGACAGCCAGGGAAAAGCAAUAGAAUAAAAUUAUGACUGUAAAAUCUUAAACCAUGGAAAGGAAGCUAAGGGCUUUUGGGGGUACACAGAGAACUGGCGAUGCCCUUCACGAUAGUAUGACCACAAAGGCUUGUGUACGAAGAACAGAUGACCAUUUACUCCUCUCUUUUUGGCUGUGGCACAGCUCUAACUGAAGGGGUAAAAUGUUUGUGAUGGGCCCCUUGUUAAUAAUAACAUCACUCUCCCGACAUUUAUCAAGAGCCAGGUAUUUGUGCAUUACCUCAUUUAACUCUCCUAAUGGCCCCAUGAGGCAGAUGCUCUAAUUAUUUUGCUUACAUCAUGGGCUGGAGAGAUUAUGGCCUGGACAGGCCAAGGUCAUACUUCUAAUAGGGCAAGGCCAGGGUAUCUAUCCACCUGUCUGAUUCCAGGGGCACAGUCCUUAAGCAGUAUGGUAUUUGCUCCCCACAUGAGAGUGUAUUUCUGUUGGUCCUGCAGAAACACCUAAUGUUUUAGAGUUCAGGCAACUAGCGAGAGGAGCAUUGAUGAGCUGAAGCCCCUCAGCUGGCCAGGAUGCAAGUGAUGGAUGGACCUUUGUAGGAAUGGUCUCUUUAUGAAGGACCGAAGACCUUGCGGGAUGUGGAAACCCUUCAGACCCCUCGAGGGCCACUGGGGGAAGGAGGGAUUAGCUUUGUUUCGGGGAGUUUCAGUGGGAGAAAAAGAAAUAUCACAUCUUCAAGUAGACAGAUUUCUGUGCAAUAUGAGGACAAGCUUUCUAGAAUGGCGCUCCUCAAGGACUAGUGUGCAUGAGACUCACUUUGAGAGCUCGUUAGAACACAUGUUCAUGGGCCCACAUCCAGAGAUUCUGAUUCAGUAGGUCUGGAUUGGGUCCUGACCGUUUGCACUUCUCAUAAGCUCACAGAUGCUGCUAUUCCCCAGAUGUAUAUUCUAGGCUUUGUGGGCCAGUCAGUGUCUCAACUGUUCAACUCUGCUAUUGCAGUGCAAAAGCAAUUAUGUAAAUACAUAUGACAAAAUGUAAAUACAUGAGCAUGUGUUCCAAUAAAACUUUAUUUACAAAUACAGGCAGCCAAGCCCUUGUGCGUCAGUUAGGCUUCUGAGCUGACAGCAACAGAAAUCACUGUUUAAUGAGGCAAGGAGCUUAUUACCUCGCCUUUGGCAGGUUCUCCCUGAGCCUAUUCGUACCAUGGGCCCUUGCCUUGUCCAGUGUUACCGGUUCUUGAAGAACACCCAAAGUCUCCUUUCUGCCAAGUCUGACCUCUGAUCUCUGCUGCCUCAUUUGCAAUCUUUUUUUCUCAUUUGGAAGGAAGCAAAGAGGGAUGUGUUCCAUCUCUGCCUAUGUGGUGUUUGAUUCACAUGAGUGGCCCUCUGAAGCUGGAAAAUGUCUCUACAUGUGUGACUCAUGAGAGACAAUGCUGGCAAGGCAUUCACAUCUGAGUGAGCACCAUUCUUCUGUGUUACUCACAUCAGCAGUACCUGCCCCGUGCUAGAGCUGAGAGAUCCAGACAGUACGCAGAAUGCCUGGGAGAGGUUCGGACCCAGCCAGCCAAGUCAUCAAGUGUAGAACAAGGAGCAUAUGACUGAGCCCAACUCAGGGCCAAACUCCUGUUCCCCGGAAGUCAGAAAAAUCCCUUUCUCCAGGAAGGGAGGCUUUACCAAAUUUGAUUUAACUAUUAGUUUGAGAUAACAGUGGCUGAGUAACACUCUGUUGGUUAUGGUGUCAAAAAUAAUCCCACAUGUGGUCUGUUGGAUAAGAGCUGGGACCUGUUUUCAUGAGAAGACACUGAUACAUAUUCUCUCUCCAAAUUAUUCCUUGGGUCAGCCUUAUUCUACCACCAACCCCCAGUAAGCGAUAACAGACGCAGACAUACAUGCACGUGUCCGUACACGUGGGCACGCAUGCGUACAUGCACACAUUUAGGAUAUUUGUCACGCACGCUCAUGGCAUCUCCAGAGAACCUGGCUUAGAGGUCAUGGAUUCAGGAUCAUCCCUGAAAUUAUGCUGCAGGCUUGGGCAGGUGGAACUGCCACGGUGGCCACCCCGGGCCCAACACCCUGGUCUAACUGCUGGCGCUGGACAUGGAAUGCUGUUGCAAGAAUCUCUACCUUUCUCGCCUCUGGAAGCGGAGCAUUCCAGCUGCCCCUCUCUUCAGGUUUUUCUGUAGCAACCAGUUUCCCUUUCCAAGUCUUGUAUGGGCCCCGCUGAUUGGCAGGGGGACAUGCACGGGCCCGCUGAUUGGCAGAGUGUGGGCCAAUGCCUGUGCCCUCACUGUAGGGGCUGCUGGGAAAGAGUCUGAGGCUUCCGCCCUAAAGUAGAGUCUUCCCCUCAAAGGAAGGAUAGGCAAAGAUCAGAGUCGUCAAAACCGUCGAAAAAUGUCAGCUCUACUUUCUAAGACCGCGUUUUGUCCAUCUUGGGCCCUGUCCACCGUUUUGUCUACUUUUCCCCUCUUCCCAGAUUAAUUUCAAAUGUUCGUCUACAUUCUUCAGCCCACAGCACAAGUGCCACUCUUAGGGCUGGCUUCUCAGGAAAAGCUUAGUUUCUCCUAAGAACAGAGUCCGGAUUAUUAGCAGCACAAAAUCUGCCUUCCUCUUUCCUGAGAAGAGCCUUCGGUUUCCAAAAAUGCAAGGCAGGAAGUAAAAAAAAAAAGAAAGAAAGAAAGAAAAAAAAAGAAAAAUUGAAAGAGAGAAUAUGAGUUGAGCAAUUCAUUUUGUAACACAGGUUAACUUCAGCUCAUCUAAAAAUCAAAAUUGAAAACAAAUUGGAUUAAAUUGCAGCAAGAUAGCUUUCUGGUUUUUCAGGCUUGUGGCAACAUGGAAUUUCUUUCCUGGAGGUCCUUUGGGAAUUGGCUGGAUCCACCAUGUUGACUGGCAUAAUUAUGACCUAGUUGUGUGUGGAGAUGGAGACGCAGAUCAGACGGCUUUCACAUGUCCCUACUAGCCUAGCUUCCGUCCUGGUGCUGCAGCAGCCUGUAUGGGAUGACGGUGCGGCCCUGAACGUUCCACUGAGGACGGGCACGCAAGUGUCUGCAUGUCUGGUGGGGGCGGCAAAGUCAGCCAGAACCAGGAACAAAGGCUGAUUCUUGGUGUGGGUUAACCACUGCCUAUUAUUCCUUCUCCAACCCAAAUAAGUUUUGUGACUGCUAGAGAAAUUGAAAUUGCCAAAGAGAAAAGUGGGGGGGGGUGCUCUAAUAUUUUCUCUGACUCUUACUUAAACAUUGGCAACUUUCCUAAGACUAUAAAUAUGAUUGGGGCCCAGCCAUUUCUCUCUUUGUAGUCUAUGAAAAUUAACUCAGUCCGCAGGGGCUGCAAUCACUGCCAAAAACCUCAAGUGUGGGCUCUUCCUCCACACUGACAAAAAUAACAGUUAAUUAGGCUGCAACACCCAAAGGAAAGUGAACUUACACCACCAAUCGCAGGGCGGCAUGCGAAAUGUCGCCAUGACAACCGGCAUUUACAGCUCUUCAAUUUUAAUAUAUCAAAGGCUAGGGAUAAUUUCCCAGUGAGAAUACACGAGGGUGGAUUUUUUUUUUUUUUACCCCCUCCUUAUUCUUUCUGCCAGUCUUUUGCCAUUACGGGAGCUCUAUUCCUGUGGCAACAGGUUUAAAAGGAAGAGAAGUCUUGUGAAAGCAUCGAACACCUGGCAUGGUACUCCUGGAGAUGGUGCACGCCUUGGGAGCCCCAGGGAGGAUGGCACAGCAUUCUUCUCAGAGUGUGGGCUGGGUGAAAAGAACUCAAGCAGGCGAAGUGUGAGCUGUGAACCUUCUCCCCCCACUCCAGGUGAACUUGCUCUUUCAUGAACUUCCCUUCCUGCCUCUGUCUCUCCAUCCCUCCAUCUUCCCUCCAUUCCUCCUUCUCUCCCUCCGUCCUUUCCUCUGUUUCUCCCUCCCUCCCUCCCUCCCUCUCUUCCUUCUUCCCUCCUUCCCUCCCUUCUUGUGUUGAGUGCUUACUCUGUUCCAGGUACCUAAUAGACAUCGCCUCCUUUAUUUUAUAUGACUACACUGUAAGUUAAAUAUUAUUUUCUAUGCGAGGACAUGGAGAUUAAGAGAGGUUGAAUGCCUAAAUCACACAGUAAGUUGCAGAGCCUGGAUUUGAACCAGUUCAGACCUUACAGUUCAGAGCCCUUGUACUUUCUGUCUCCUCAGUAUUAUUAAAAUGAACUCUCUAUAAAUAGAGGUAAAUAAAUUUGCUAUUAUCACCAUUGCCCUCACCACUGUGUAUCAGUCAGCUACUGCUGCAUAACAAUCAUCAACAGAAUCUUGAUGCCAUACAAUAAUAAACAUCUUCCUCACUUCCGGAUAGGGAGGCUGUGAUCCCCAGGUGUUUAUCCUGGGGCCCAGGCUGAAUGGGAAGCUGUUGCCCAGAGGCAGCUCUUCUCAUGGUGAUGGCAGAGUCAUAGAGGGUAUGUCCAAACACACAAGCACUUUCACAUCCGUCCUGUGUCUUUGUCUGUUAAUAUCCUCUCAAGUCACAUGAUUGAACCCAAAGACAAGGAGUAGCAAUAUACACCCUCCCUUUUGGGGGAGGAAUUGGAAAGUUUUAUAGCAAGGGUGUAGAUACAGGAAGGGAUGAAGAACUGGGGCCCAAAAGAUCAUUUUACACAGUUAGCACCACUACUGUCGUUGUCAUCAUCACCAACUUCAUCGCUUCUAUGGGCCAGACCUCUCUUUACCUUGAUCUAUGUUUAAGUAAUUAGUGAUUUCUUUACAAAGCUUUUCAAGAGUGCUAGUCAUUACUGGAGGAACUAAUAAUCAUUCAAUGGGAUGAAGUUUUCCAUAAAAAUAUUUUUUUAAGAACCUUGUAUCUUGGUUUAUCACAAUUUUGAAAAGUAUGGUGGUGAAUGCAGUUCAAUAUACCAAGUUUCUUUUGAAUUACUAUGUAUUUUACUUUAUGCAUUUAAAAACCUAUUUGUGUGUGUGUGUGUGGGGGGGGAUAGGUUUCACCAAACAACGGACCAUUUCUUUGCACUAAACAAUGAAGAUUCCCUUGGUCUUCAUCAUGUUUGCCCUGACAUGAGACAUCAACGUGAUUUGUAAUCAUGGUCCUACACAUUUAUAGAAAACUUUAUAGUAUAUAAAGCCUCCCCAUACCCAGAUCUUUAUAUUUCAUCUGCGUAGCCGUGGGGACCCGCAGGUGACAUACCCAAGCCUGAAAGUCAGGUUUCUAAAAGCCAUUCCUAGUAUUGAAAAGCCAUUCUGGUAAAUGAGGCAUUUCCCAGAAAUUGUGAUAAUUUCAGUAUCUGAGCCUAAUAAGUAAGGAGUGGUCAAUUUUACCUUGAGAAUAGUCUGAAAAUAGAGGGAAGUAGAUUCUUUCUAAUUUUUAAGAUAUAAAAACUCUAGAUUUUGUGUGCAUGCUAUAAAUAUCUACAUUUGUAAACCUCAGAAUUCUAAAAUUACCUUCCUUGUU